rnacentral:lncRNA from 1 species
GGGGGCAGCUGGGUCAGGCUGGACCGGGGCACUUCCUAGCGUGAUGACCGCCUUCUCAUGCGGGGGACUCUUGCCAGAUUUUUUUUUUUUUUUUCCCACUUAUUGCAAAUUUGCGCUAUUUCUACUUUGCCACUCUUUGUUUGGCCACACCCGCAGCAUGCAAAAGGUCUCAGGCCAGGGAUCAAACCUGGGCCACAGCAGUGACCCAAGCCACUGCAGUGACAACACUGGCUCCUUACCCCGCUGAGCCGUGAGGGAGCUCCAGCUCGUGUAUUUAACACAACUUUUUUUUUUUUUUUCUUUUGGCCACUACUUGUUAUGGCAACUUCGUGUUAUUUCUACUACAUGAGGGGAGAGGUUGCCUCUUUUGAAGCAUGGACUUUUUUUUCUACUCUUUUUUCUUAAGGAGGAUGGGGCUCCAUGUGGGAAGACAUCCCCUCUGACCACUGAGAUUUAUGUCUGUGGCUCUGAACCCAGCUCUGUGCUGUUCUUUAUUUGAUACAACAACCCAGUGUGUGGGGGGACUGUGCCUACCCCCUGCUCACGAAGGAGACAAGCGGGGCCAGAGAGGGCAGGGGAUCUGCCCCAAGUCACUCAGCUUGCUCAGGGUAGAGCUGAGAUCUGAACCCACGUACAGGUGUUUGCUCCCAGAGCUGGUGCUCUUCCGUGUCACGGUCCUCUUGACACGGAAGCCACGGCCCUGCCCACCCUCUGCGAGCCGCCUGAUCUCUCCUAGGGAUACUGAAAAGGCACAAAAGCUUGUCUGUGUUGUUGGAAGUAGUGAAAAGGUCAAAGCCGGUGCUCAGGUGAUGCGUUCAUGCUGGUUUCUACCAGAUUAUGAUUUCACUAAAUGUCACGUGUCCACAAGGGACAAAGGCCAUACCACUCCCAGCAGUUGAUGGUAUUUCCCAAAAGCAGUACUGGCGGCCUGUACGCUCUGUCCUGUACCUGCCAGCCCUGUGAUAAGGCAGCCCCACCUCUACUGCCAGGCUAGGGGUCAGAUUGGAGCUGUAGCCGCCGGCCUACGCCAGAGCCACACAGCAACGCUAUAUCCAAGCCUCAUCUGCCACCUACACCACAGCUCAUGGCAACACUGGAUCCUUGACCCUCUGAGCAAGGCCAGAGAUCGAACCCUUAACCUCAUGGUUCCUAGUCAGAUUCGUUUUUCCAUACGCCGCAAUGGGAACUCCUGUUUUUUCCCAUUUGGCUGGACCUGUGGCAUGCAGAAGUUCCCAGGCCAGGGUUUGAACCCAAGACAGACCGAACAGUGACAAUGCCGGGUCCUUAACCCACUGUGCCACCAGGGAGCUCCUCGGCAACCCUUUGGAAGGGACGCCAGAGGUGGAUCUUCGCCAAGAGAGAGAGAAAGGGAGGGCAGGGAGACGGCUUUUGCAGGAAGGUCCUCCUUCUCGGGGGUCCUCAACAGUGUCCUUGAACCCACUUUCUCUUUAUGGGACAGAAAUUGAUCUGCCUGGAACUGGGCCUCCCUUCGCCCCACCCUUGUGUCCAAAACACAGGAGGCCCGUUACCGUGGCAGCCACAGUCUUGGAGGUUUGAGACCGCCUUCCGACUGGACACACCUUUCAUUUGUUCUUUGUUUUGAGAAACGCCAAGUUCAUGUUUAACCUCUGCACGGUUAGAAGCAUAAUGAUCAAUGGCUCGUGUACCCAACACAGAGGUCCAGGACGGGUACCUUUGAAGACCUUGGCAAGACCCUCCCCAAAUGCCUACUCUUUUCCUCCCCCAGAGAGACUCCUCAUGCUCCAAUUUGCAUUAAUCUUUCCCUGGCUUUUCUUUGCCAUUUAAUCCUCUGUGCACCCAGCUCCAGACGGAUCAGCGGCUGAUUCCAUUGCAUAAGUGACUCACCUCUCUGCCGGGCCUCCGGGCCAGUUCCUCUCUCCACUAACUCUGUUGGGUGAGCUCAAUGGAGCCCCCGGGCCGAGAUGGGUCACUCCCAGCAAGGGCGGCCGGCUCUUUCUCUUUUCCCCUACCUCAGACAGCGACCCUCAUCCAAACUAGCCAUCUUGAGUCUUAAGGAUAUGGUCCAGGAAGGCUCCCUGGAGCAGAGAGAGCUGGGAAGGCGUUGGGUAGAUGGAAAGGAGAAGAAGGGAAUUUCUGGAAGAGGAAGCCAUGCAAACCAAAGCACAGACCAGAGUUCCCGCUAUAGGCCAGGCAUUGCUACAGCUGCAGGGUAGGUUGCAGCGCAGCUGGGAUCUGAUCCCUGGCCCAGGAACUUCAGAGGCUGCAGGAUGGCCAAAAAAUAAUAAAAUAAAAUAUAAAAUAAAACAAAACAGAAACAAAAUAGAAACAAAGCACAGAGUUACCUUGAAAGCAAGUUCAUAGCAAGGCCAUUCAGGGCUUCUGUUGGGAGACAGUGGGGGCGGGGCGGACACGCUAAGCUUGGGAGGCCAGGGUGGGAAUGAACUUGCCCUGGGCAGUGGGGGAGGAGGGGGCUGACUCAAUCCAUGAAAAAUGGCACAUGCUUCCUCGAGUUGGUGCAGAAUUGCCUCAAAUUUGUCAGGCUAAGCGAUGGUAAAGCAAGGACAGUCCUACAGUCUUACUUCUCACCCAUGCAAAGUUCACGGCAUUUGGUAGCUCUCAAGAAAAACUGCCCUCUGGGCAAUGAUGUAAUGAUUCAGCCUGUGGGAGCUUCCUGUGUCUCCGAGCGGCUACUGGCAAACUACUGCCCCCGGGCUGCCUCCUGUUUUUGUAAAUAAAGGUUUAUUGGGACAU